rnacentral:rRNA from 1 species
AUGCGGCGCCUUCCGCUUCGACCAGCUCGGACAGUGCCCCAACUUCACCUGCGCCUCCAACUUCAGCAAAUGUUUAGAGACGACUUCAACUUUCGAGCUGUUAGUCUGGCUACCAUAGGCCUUCUUUCUUUUGGUAGUCUGCAUAUGUACCCGUUGAGGCUUAGACCUAUCAUGUAUCUGCAUCUGCAUCUCUCUCUAUGUACUGGCAAUAUGCCUGCUCAACCUGUUGCUUUAGUUUCUGUUAUGCAUCAUGUACUCUGUUUCCGUCUCUUGGCCACCCACUAUGUACGCUCUGUUGAGCCUCUGUCUCUUUCCAAGAUUUAUGCGAUCUACUACGACUCACUCUGCUUGUCCUACUCAUAUCUACUUCUGCAUAAUGUUGGCUCACACUACAAUGAAAAUCCUUAA